GUCCUCAUUUGUAAAUGGGGAAAAAAUCUGUGGGCUGAGGCUGUCUUUUGGAAAACACUUUCCUGGGUCGUGAGUCCUUGAUUUCAUAGGUUGCUUAUAUUACUACAAAGGAACCUUAAACCAACUGUGUCCUUCCUUUUCCUUAUUGCAGUUGGAGGACAACAGCACACCUGAACCAAAGGAAAAUGGGGAGGAAGGCUGUCAUCAAAAUGGUCUUUCCCUCCCUGUAGUGGAAGAAGGGGAGGUUCUCUCACACUCUCUAGAAGCAGAGCACAGGUUAUUGAAAGCUAUGGGUUGGCAGGAAUAUCCUGAAAACGAUGAGAAUUGCCUUCCCCUCACAGAGGAUGAGCUCAAAGAGUUCCACAUGAAGACAGAGCAGCUGAGAAGAAAUGGCUUUGGAAAGAAUGGCUUCUUGCAGAGCCGCAGUUCCAGCCUGUUCUCCCCUUGGAGAAGCACUUGCAAAGCAGAGUUUGAGGACUCAGACACCGAAACCAGUAGCAGUGAAACAUCAGAUGACGAUGCCUGGAAGUAGGCAUAUAAAUGCUCACAGUUAAAUCUGA
rnacentral:sRNA from 1 species